GAUGAACGCUGGCAGAAUGCCUAAUACAUGCAAGUCUUUGGCGAAGCCGUGCUUGCACAGCCUAGCCAAGGCGGACGGGGGAGUAAAGCGUAAGGAACUUGCCCUGCCGUUAGGGAUAACAUAAGGAAACGAAUGAUAAGAUCAUGCAAAAUCAGGUGGACACCAGUCCAGCCCGGUGAAAAGAGAUGCUGCAGGAGAGCCUUGUGGCCUAUUAGCUUGUUGGUGGGGUAACGGCCCACCAAGGCGAUGAUAGGUAGCCGGCCUGAGAGGGUGGACGGCCACAAGGGGACUGAGAUACGGCCCUUACUCCUACGGGAGGCAGCAGUGGGGAAUAUUGGACAAUGGGGGCAACCCUGAUCCAGCAAUUCUGUGUGCACGAUGAAGGUUUUCGGAUUGUAAAGUGCUUUCAGCAGGGAAGAAAAAAUGACGGUACCUGCAGAAGAAGCGACGGCUAAAUACGUG
rnacentral:rRNA from 1 species